GACGAACGCUGGCGGCGUGCCUAAUACAUGCAAGUAGAACGCUGAAGGAGGAGCUUGCUCUUCUGGAUGAGUUGCGAACGGGUGAGUAACGCGUAGGUAACCUGCCUGGUAGCGGGGGAUAACUAUUGGAAACGAUAGCUAAUACCGCAUAAGAGUAGAUGUUGCAUGACAUUUGCUUAAAAGGUGCAAUUGCAUCACUACCAGAUGGACCUGCGUUGUAUUAGCUAGUUGGUGGGGUAACGGCUCACCAAGGCGACGAUACAUAGCCGACCUGAGAGGGUGAUCGGCCACACUGGACUGAGACACGGCCCAGACUCCUACGGGAGGCAGCAGUAGGGAAUCUUCGGCAAUGGUCGGAAGUCUGACCGAGCAACGCCGCGUGAGUGAAGAAGGUUUUCGGAUCGUAAAGCUCUGUUGUAAGAGAAGAACGAGUGUGAGAGUGGAAAGUUCACACUGUGACGGUAUCUUACCAGAAAGGGACGGCUAACUACGUG
rnacentral:rRNA from 1 species